rnacentral:rRNA from 1 species
GGAAUAUUGCGCAAUGGAGGAAACUCUGACGCAGUGACGCCGCGUGCAGGAAGAAGGUUUUCGGAUUGUAAACUGCUUUAGACAGGGAAGAAAAAGGACAGUACCUGUAGAAUAAGCUACGGCUAACUACGUGCCAGCAGCCGCGGUAAUACGUAGGGAGCGAGCGUUAUCCGGAUUUAUUGGGUGUAAAGGGUGCGUAGACGGGAUAGCAAGUUGGCUGUGAAAUCCCUCGGCUUAACUGAGGAACUGCAACCAAAACUACUAUUCUUGAGUGCUGGAGAGGAAAGUGGAAUUCCUAGUGUAGCGGUGAAAUGCGUAGAUAUUAGGAGGAACACCAGUGGCGAAGGCGACUUUCUGGACAGUAACUGACGUUGAGGCACGAAAGUGUGGGGAGCAAACA